UACAGAGGUCUCAAGCGUUGUUCGGAUUCAUUGGGCGUAAAGGGUGCGUAGGUGGCGCUGUAAGUCGGGUGUGAAAUUUCGGAGCUUAACUCCGAAACUGCAUUCGAUACUGCGGUGCUUGAGGACUGGAGAGGAGACUGGAAUUCAUGGUGCAGCAGUGAAAUGCGUAGAGAUCAUGAGGAAGACCAGUGGCGAAGGCGGGUCUCUGGACAGUUCCUGACACUGAGGCACGAAGGCCAGGGGAGCAAACGGG
rnacentral:rRNA from 1 species